UGCCUGGGGCACAAGGGUCUGACUUUCCCUCAUCCUUGGACCUCUGGAGAGUCCCUCGGUGGUUAGGACCACUGUCUCCUCCCCCACAGCUGGGGAUGGAAGAGGAGCUCAGUGCUGGAAAUACCAGGAGCUGGAGGGCCCCAGGAGACUCACAUUUGCAGGGUCCAAUGUAGUCCAGGUGGAGUUUGUGGCCCUUCUUGGUGCCCUCCAGGGUGCACUUGGUGGCAAAGAAGUGGCAGGAAGAGUCGAAGGUCUUGUUGUCGUUGCU